UCACUAAUCAGAUAAUUGUUACAACUGCACUUGAAACCUACAAGUGACUAACAAUACACUGACUUAGCUCACACUAAGAUUCACUCUCUUAGUCUUCUCUAGGAUCCGAUCAACCUUGAUCUCCUAAAGGUAAACUAAACAACUGUUUAGAGAAUAUUGUUUACAAAGAAAUUGCUUCUUAAAAGCUUGUAGUAAACACAAUGAAUUCAAUGAAGAAAUAAUACUUAGAAGAUUUGAAUAUAGCUUGCGCGUAUGAGUUUCUUCCAACCGCAUCUUUCAAUCUUCAGCCUCUAUAUAUACUCCAAGGAUUAGGGUUUGAACAUUGCAUGGGAAUGCUACCGUUGGAGGGCAGAUCUGGGAUUUCUAGCUUCUGUUGUGGCUAAGAAUGUUAGGUUAGGUCGUCAGGAUAAUACAUUUGCUUUUGUACUUUGGAUAGUGACUUGACCUUUAACCUAGUAGACUUCUGAUCAGAGGAAUGCUUCGUGUUGGAACUUGUGAAGCUUGUUGAUCAGAGUCAGAGGGAAGCAUGAAUCCUCUGACCGUUGUACCUUCUGAUUCUAAGCUCAGAGGAGAAGUACUUCGUCUUCAGAGCCAGUUUGCUUCUGGCCUUCAGAGUCAUCACUUUUCAGCUUCUGGAUCUUCAGACUCUUCUACACCAUCAGAACUUCUGAACCUUCAGAGUGUUUGGGUUGUCAGAACGUCUGAAUCUUCAGAACUUCAAGUGAGCUGAGUCCAUAUCAGAGCUUGAUUGACUUUAGAUCUUCUGAAGCUUUUCUACUGUUCAGAUUGAACAUAGAGAUUGUGAAAGCGUUGCUAGGGUCACUCUUUAAGCACAGUGCUUCUGAUUUGUGUGAGAUUAUGUUAAGGUCAGAGCCUGUUAAGAGCACACUCAGAAAACACGUUAGAGUACCAUAAUUGUUCAUACUAAAAUGUUAACUUGUAAUCAUCAAAACAUAGAGUUGUACUACACGAUCAAAACUUGAUCUUACAAUCUCCCCCUUUUUGAUGAUGACAAAACCAAGUAUUUUGAUGAACAAUUCUUAAACAAUAAACUGAAUUCACUCAGAGUUUAGAGAAAUAGAAUUAGGCUUAUCCUGAAUCUAAGACUUAAUGAAAACAUUAGUGAUAUCUAGAUUCUGAGCUAAAUAAUAUAAGAGUUCAGAGUGAAAACGCAUGACAUAGAUGAAGUGAAAUAAUCAGAGCGCAUAAGUAUUCAGAGUCACAAGUAGGGUAUCAGAGUCAACCAAAAUCACUUCAGAAGAAGUGAAAUGUAUUCCUUGUAUUUACCCAGUGACAUAUCUAUGGUCAUAACAGUGGAACUCUUAAAUUCUCCAAAAAUAACAAACAUCACACUUAUCAGCAUAUACAUCAAAAACUGGGUUAUACUCCCCCUUUUUGUCAUAAGCAAAAAGCUUGGGGUGUGAAAAACUAAGCUUGAAGUACAAGGUACUCCCCCUAAAAGAAGGACCAAGGUCAAAAAGAUGGAGAAUUAAUUAAUGAUGAAAAAGAGAUUAGCGAAUUAAAGAAAGGAAUUAAUGCAUAGGUAGAACAUUUACCACCGACCACGGGAGUAAAGAGAAGCGUCAGUUACCAAUACUUUAUCCUCGAGAAACUGCAGUAGCAAUAACUUCCGGAGAGAAAAGGAUGCUUAUAUAAAGCGAUUAGGAACACAGUAAGCUUCACAACAAGAUCAAUUCCAAAUAAAAAAAAUGGCAUCAUACAUGGUUGCAUUAGAAGAGCUUAGAAAGAAGGCCUUUGAAGAAGAUUUGUUCAUGAAUGUUAGGCAUCCAGAUGGUUCAAGAACCAUACAUGAGCUUACCACAACGCUGCUAGAAAAGGAUCUUAGUCCAGAGUUGGAGAAAGAUCUGAAGGAGUUCCUCUGCUUCGUGGAGGAGAUUCAGGAGCUGUGCAAGCUGGAGCUGAAUCUGAUGGAAGAAAAAGAAGCAGUGACGAAAGAUCUGGAGAUGAUGGAAGAUCGUCUGGAGAGGGAUGAACUGAGCAAAAGACUCGGCAACAUAGAGUAUAUUCUCGAUCGUCUGGAGAAGGAAAGAUUAGGAGCGCCAAGAGUGUAGGAGAAUGAGGAAGGAUCCUCCAUUCUAGAGUAAUGCAGAUGUAUGAAGAUGGAAUAUGUAAUGAUUGGUUAUAAAUAUAUAAAGAACGACUAGAAGGGGGGGUUGAAUAGCGUUUUCAAUAUAAAACUUUCCCCUUAAGAUUUAAAGUAAAUCUUUUCGGUUUCUCUAAGAUAGAUGGUGCAGCGGAUAAAGAUAGAGAGAAGAGAAAAGCACACAAGUAUUUUAUCCUGGUUCACUUGAUAAAUCCCUCAAGCUAAUCCAGUCCACCCGUUAAGGGAGACAAGNNNNNNNNNNNNNNNNNNNNNNNNNNNNNNNNNNNNNNNNNNNNNNNNNNNNNNNNNNNNNNNNNNNNNNNNNNNNNNNNNNNNNNNNNNNNNNNNNNNNCCUCUGAGAUCUCAGAUCCUUGGACCCCAAAGAUCUCUGGAUUUUAAGACCUUUCUAUUUUUUGGAACUUUUCAGGGAAAAAUUUUUUUUGGGGGGAAGAGAAAACAAGACCCCUGUUGUUCAAAACCCCCCCAAGCCAACCCUUGAGGGUUUUAAAGGUGUUCUCCCCCAAAAAAAAAAAACUUUGUUAUUACAAAAAAAAAGAGUGUUGUCCCCCCGGGCCCCAUUCUGGUUCUCACAAUCUCCCCCCUUUUGGAGGGAUGCCAAACCCAGUGUAUUGGAUGAACACCUUUAACACAAAUAACCGUGAAUCCACUCAGAGUAUAGGGAUCAGAGUAAAACCUAUCCUAAGGGUAUAGUUAAUCUGGCUUCUUGAGAUCCAAGACUCGUGCUGAUUUGAGCUAAGCUCCCCUGAUCUAAUACUUAAAUCAAUGUUAGUAAAAUCUAGAUUCUGAGCUAAAUAAAAUAGGAGUGUCAAGAUACUAUAAGUUCUCCCCCUUUUGUCAUAAGCAAAAAGAAUGAAGGUGGAAAAAAAAUAGUAAGAGCAUAAGACGAAAUACUCCCCCUCAGAAGGAAUACCAAGGGAUACUUGGCUUCUGAUUAGUAUAUCUUCUUAUGAGAGCAGAAGUGUGGUUCUGGUGACAUCUCCAUUCUGAAAAAAAUUCCAUCUUCAGAUGCUUCAGAAUGAGAAGCUAUGAACCUACUCUUCUUCUGAUGACGCAAGUCAGAAGUUGUAGUAGCAUCUUCUGAUGUUGUUGCUUCUGGUUUGACAAGUUCUGAUUCUUUGUUUCUAUCUGAAACAGUCAUGCUCAUCUCUACAAGCUUUUUCAGCUAGCUUUGACUUGACCAAAUCUUACUCUACUGAUGCCUCCAAGAUCAACUUCACCUUCAGGUUCAAGUUUUGGAUCUUGGGACAUAUGCCUUUCUCCCAUCAUGUGUUGCUUGCAUCCACUGUCCAGGUUCCAUGGUUGGAGUUUCGAUGGACCUAUUGAAGAUAUCUGCAACAUAUAUAAUCUUAUCCCUAGGUACCCACUUUCUGGGUCCUUUCUUGUUAGUUAGCCCAGAAGUUCUGACAACUUUGGGUCUUUCAACAGGAUAAUAUACAGGAAUUUUUGCAUGAUAUUUAGACAUGAAGAAAGAUCCCUUUAUAAGAGGAGGUUUAGCAGCUUCAGCAGGUACAGGGUCAGGCAAUAUGGUACCAGAGGGAACAAAGCAUUCAUACAAAGAUUUAGCUUUAGGCACAGAGGGCUCAUUUCUAAUUGGUUUAGAAUACCCAAUGCCACGCAUUCCAUUUCUGCUCACGCCAUAGAUCAAUGAAGCCAUCAAGCUUCUAUCUACGCUUUUAGCCAGGAAUCUUUGAAAAGAUUUUUCAUACUUAGAUUCAUGCUUACUAUCAGAGGCAUCGCAGGCAAUAACUUCUUCUAACUUAGCAAUUUGAUUCUUAAGCACAGAGUUAGAAUUAACUAAAGCAUGAUUUUCAUUUUUCAAAUCAGAAAUAAUUUUCUCAUGUUCAGAAGAAGUUUCAGAGGCAGCAGAGAAAUUCUUUUUCAACCUUUUAUGCUUAGUCAAGAGAGAGUUAUAUUUAUCCAUAAUUUCAGACAAAGCAUCUUUAAGUUCAGAAGUUGAGAAAGAAUCAAAUACCUCAUUUUCAUCGUCAGAGUCUGGAUCUCCUUCUGAUUCUGAGUCAGAGUCAACAGCUUCCUUUGACUCUGCUCCUUUGUCUUUGACAAUAGCCAUGAGUCCUUGGACUUCACCAUCAGAGUCAACAUCCUCUGAUUCUGAUUCAUCAAAAGUCACCAUCAGACUUUUCUUUGUCUUGAAAUGCUUCUUUGACUUUUUGUCCUUUGAUGAGCCUUUGAAUUUGCUCUGCCUGUGCUUCCAGAUGCAGUUGAGCUUUCUGGAUAUCAGAGUCAGCUCAUCUUCAUCAGAAUCUUCAGAGGCUUCUUCAGAUUCUUCUGCUUCUGCUUGGAGAGCCUUAGCCUUUUCAGAUUUGGAUUUCAAGGCUAUAGACUUCUUCUUCUGAUCCUGAUGUUCAGCACUCUUUAGUUCAUGACACUUCAGUAUGCUUAUGAGUUCUUCCAAACUCAUCUGCUCAACAUCUCUAGUUAGCUCCAAGGAAGUUAUCAAAGGCAUCCAGCUUUCAGGAAGACCUCUAAGGAUCCUCAUGACAUGAUCCGCAGUGGUGUAGCUGUUGCUGAGGGGUCUUAUUCCAGCAAUAAUCAACUGGAAUCUGGAAAACAUAUCCUCAAUGGAUUCGUCAGGUUCCAUUUGGAAGGAUUCAUAUUUCUGGAUCAAAGACAGUGCCUUUGAUUCUUUCACUUUCUUGUUUCCUUCAUGAGACAUCUUCAAGGAUUCAAAGAUGCCCUUGGCGGAAUCACGAUCAGUAAUUUUCUCAUAUUCUUCAUAUGAAAUGGCACUUUGCAGAAUAGCUCUUGAUCGGUGAUGAUCUCUGAACUCCUUCUUUUGAUCUUCACUCAUCUUCUUCCUUGGGAUUUUUACACCAUGUUCAUCGACAGGAGGGGUGUAGCCAUCAACAACAAAAUCCCAGAGAUCAGGAUCAAAGCCAAGAAAGAAGCUUUUGAUUCUGUCUUUCCAGAAAUCAAAUCUCUGACCAUCAAAGAUAGGUGGUCUUGCACUGUAUUGAUAUUUGCUUGUAGUAGUGGUGGAAUCCAUGAGUUUUUCACACUGGCCCGGAUCUACUGAACACUGUUAAGUGUGGUAAUCAGAACUUGCGCUCUGAUACCAAUUGAAGGUGUGAAAAACGACUAGAAGGGGGGGUUGAAUAGCGUUUUGAAUAUAAAAACUUUCCCCUUAAGAUUUAAAGUAAAUCUUUUCGGUUUCUCUAAGAUAGAUGGUGCAGCGGAUAAAGAUAGAGAGAAGAGAAAAGCACACAAGUAUUUUAUCCUGGUUCACUUGAUAAAUCCCUCAAGCAAAUCCAGUCCACCCGUUAAGGUGAUUUCUUCCUUCUUAGAAUGAAGGUAAUCCACUAAUCAGAUAAUUGUUACAACUGCACUUGAAACCUACAAGUGACUAACAAUACACUGACUUAGCUAUCACUAAGAUUCACUCUCUUAGUCUUCUCUAGGAUCCGAUCAACCUUGAUCUCCUAAAGGAAUCACCACUAAGAUUCACUCUCUUAGUCUUCUUAAGGAUACUGACCUACCCGGUCCCUUAAGGAAAAUCAAACAACUGUUUGAGGUUGGUGUUUACAAAGGUUUGCUUCUAAAUAAGCUGAGUGUAAACUAAAUAAGAAUAGAUGAAGAAAGUAGAGGCUUGAAUCUUUUCUUGUAUUGCAGCUCUUUGUUUUCUCUCACACAGCUUUCUUCUUUUCUUCAGUCUUUUAUAGUCCAAGGUGCAAAGGAUAUUUCUGUUGAGAGAAUAUGACCGUUGGAGGGCAUUUCUGGAACUUCCAGA
rnacentral:lncRNA from 1 species